rnacentral:rRNA from 1 species
UACGUAUGUCGCAAGCGUUAUCCGGAUUUAUUGGGCGUAAAGCGCGUCUAGGCGGUUUGGUAAGUCUGAUGUGAAAAUGCGGGGCUCAACUCCGUAUUGCGUUGGAAACUGCCAAACUAGAGUACUGGAGAGGUGGGCGGAACUACAAGUGUAGAGGUGAAAUUCGUAGAUAUUUGUAGGAAUGCCGAUGGGGAAGCCAGCCCACUGGAUAGAUACUGACGCUAAAGCGCGAAAGCGUGGGUAGCAAACAGG